CCUACGGGCGGCUGCAGUGGGGAAUAUUGCACAAUGGGCGCAAGCCUGAUGCAGCCAUGCCGCGUGUGUGAAGAAGGCCUUCGGGUUGUAAAGCACUUUCCGCGGGGAGGAAGGCGGUGAGGUUAAUAACCUCAUCGAUUGACGUUACCCGCAGAAGAAGCACCGGCUAACUCCGUGCCAGCAGCCGCGGUAAUACGGAGGGUGCAAGCGUUAAUCGGAAUUACUGGGCGUAAAGCGCACGCAGGCGGUCUGUCAAGUCGGAUGUGAAAUCCCCGGGCUCAACCUGGGAACUGCAUUCGAAACUGGCAGGCUAGAGUCUUGUAGAGGGGGGUAGAAUUCCAGGUGUAGCGGUGAAAUGCGUAGAGAUCUGGAGGAAUACCGGUGGCGAAGGCGGCCCCCUGGACAAAGACUGACGCUCAGGUGCGAAAGCGUGGGGAGCAAACAGGAUUAGAUACCCGAGUAGGC
rnacentral:rRNA from 1 species